rnacentral:rRNA from 1 species
GUCGAGAAUUUUUCACAAUGGGCGAAAGCCUGAUGGAGCGACGCCGCGUGGGGGAUGAAGGGCUUCGGCCUGUAAACCCCUGUCAGCCGUGACCAAAGUCCCUUGCCUAAUAAGUAAGGGAUCUGAUGGUAACGGCAGAGGAAGGGACGGCUAACUCUGUGCCAGCAGCCGCGGUAAGACAGAGGUCCCAAGCGUUGUUCGGAUUCACUGGGCGUAAAGGGUGCGUAGGCGGUUGGGUAAGUCCGACGUGAAAUCUCGCGGCUUAACCGCGAAAUUGCGUUGGAAACUAUCCAGCUUGAGGGUUGGAGAGGGGACUGGAAUUCUCGGUGUAGCAGUGAAAUGCGUAGAUAUCGAGAAGAACACCGGUGGCGAAGGCGAGUCCCUGGACAACUCCUGACGCUGAGGCACGAAAGCUAGGGGAGCAAACAGGAUUAGAAACCCUAGUAGUCC